AAGUUUUCACAACUAAACUCAUAUACAAAUUGAACUACAGGAGACAUCAUAAUAGAAGAAUUAGUUAACUCAAAUUUGGACUUUUAAUGGUGUUAGAUGUUCCCAAUUCCCAUGGUGCUAAGUCACAUGGUUUAGUUGAGUUAAUAGCCAUGGUGCAAUUGUCCUUGGUUGUGAAAGGAUUGCUGCUAGUUAUUUGUAAGUAAAUGAAUGGAUCAAAAAA